rnacentral:rRNA from 1 species
GACGAACGCUGGCGGCGUGCUUAACACAUGCAAGUCGAGCGGUAAGGCCCCGUUCGGGGGUACACGAGCGGCGAACGGGUGAGUAACACGUGAGCAACCUACCCUCAACUUCGGGAUAAGCCUCGGAAACGGGGUCUAAUACCGGAUAUCACUUUCCACCUCAUGGGUGGGGGGUUGAAAGUUCUGGGCGGGUUGGGGAUGGGCUCGCGGCCUAUCAGCUUGUUGGU